rnacentral:rRNA from 1 species
GAUGAACGCUGGCGGCGUGCCUAAUACAUGCAAGUCGAGCGAACAGACGAGGAGCUUGCUCCUCUGACGUUAGCGGCGGACGGGUGAGUAACACGUGGAUAACCUACCUAUAAGACUGGGAUAACUUCGGGAAACCGGAGCUAAUACCGGAUAAUAUAUUGAACCGCAUGGUUCAAUAGUGAAAGACGGUUUUGCUGUCACUUAUAGAUGGAUCCGCGCCGCAUUAGCUAGUUGGUAAGGUAACGGCUUACCAAGGCAACGAUGCGUAGCCGACCUGAGAGGCGGAACGGCCCACAGUGGACGGAAGACACGCACAGGACUCCACGGUAGGGCGACGGUGGGAAAUAUACGACAAUGGGCGAAGGCAUAACGAACAAACACGGGGGACGGAAGCAGGGUGUUGGGAUGGAAAGACAGGGUAAUUAGGAAGAAACAACAGUGUAAGAAAAUAGACAAGGCGGGACGGGACUGGAACAGAAAGCCACGGCUAACUACGUG